GCUUGUUGGUGGGGUAACGGCCUACCAAGGCGACGAUGUCUAGGGGCUCUGAGAGGAGAAUCCCCCACACUGGUACUGAGACACGGACCAGACUCCUACGGGAGGCAGCAGUAAGGAAUAUUGGUCAAUGGAGGGAACUCUGAACCAGCCAUGCCGCGUGCAGGAAGACGGCCCUACGGGUUGUAAACUGCUUUUGCACGGGAAUAACCCUCAUUAUGUAUAAUGAGCUGAAUGUACCGUGAGAAUAAGGAUCGGCUAACUCCGUGCCAGCAGCCGCGGUAAUACGGAGGAUCCGAGCGUUAUCCGGAAUUAUUGGGUUUAAAGGGUGCGCAGGCGGGGAUCUAAGUCAGGGGUGAAAGACGGUGGCUCAACCAUCGCAGUGCCUUUGAUACUGGAUUUCUUGAAUGUACCUGAGGUAGGCGGAAUGUGGCAAGUAGCGGUGAAAUGCAUAGAUAUGCCACAGAACACCGAUUGCGAAGGCAGCUUACCAAAGUAUGAUUGACGCUGAGGCACGAAAGCGUGGGGAUCGAACAGGAUUAGAUACCCUGGUAGUCCACGCCCUAAACGAUGAACACUCGAUGUCGGCGAUAGACAGUCGGCGUCCAAGCGAAAGCGUUAAGUGUUCCACCUGGGGAGUACGCCCGCAAGAUUAAAACUCAAAUG
rnacentral:rRNA from 1 species